GCUAAUGUUAUGUCUGAUUUCCGUAUAGAGGCUUUCAGGGACUUACAGACACUCCUCUACUUUCCAACAGCACCAUGUACAGACCAGAACUGCUGACUCCAGGAGAGAAAGGAGAUGCCCUGCGAGAGGGGAGCAAGGCCACCUGGCCUUGGACUCAUAUCCUCCAAAAUGAUCAGGACUUAUCCUACAGCUGUGACUGUGGUAGAUUCGGAGUCUCCUCAGGCUCCCAUUUCCCUGUGUAAGAUGGAUGCCCUCUUUCCAGUAUUUAAAAUAGUGCCCAAGGAUAAUGUGAAAAUUAUGACAUAGCUAGAUGCCUUUAAGAGCUAAUGUCCCAAGAAAACACAUCAACAACAUGCUGAGAUUUAUGAAAUUGGUCAACAACACCUCCCAAAAACAAAGACGAAAAUACGCAAUAUGAGGAUUAAGAAUAAGGUCAGAGCAUCCACCAUCGCAAGCCUGCCAUGAGGUGCCUGGAAGAACUCAUAAAAUGAUCUGAGCAAAACAUUCCCUCCAUCAGACAGUGUUUGCAGAGGAAAAACCAGAAGGAGCUCAGUCAUUUAGAGGGCGGAAGACUAGCAGGUCAGGAAAGACUGGCACAGCAGACCUUGUUUGUGCCCCAAGCAACAUCUUAUGUUGCAAAGAGGAUUUCUAUUUUGAAUUAAUUGCCCAAGGCUGGCGAUUAGCAAGGAGAACCUUCUCCUUCCAUCAGGAUGUGCAACAAACGUCAAAAAUCAGAGGGGGAUUACGGCAAUGAGGAAGGACACCGGUACCACGCAGAGCUCAUUUGGCUGCUGCAGAAGCCAAAUUGUCUCGGGGACGCGCCGUCACUGCUGCCACAGCCCGCUGUCCCCGCAGGCUCCCAGCGGCGAGACGAGGCCGGCUCCGGACCUGGCGCACUUGUCAGGAUUAAGCAUCAUCUGCAGCAGAUGAUGAUGUAUUUCACAACCCCAGUGGUGCAGAAAGGAAAAGAACAGAUGUGCUGGCUCCCACCACGCGUGAGGCUGUUUGGAGGAUUCAGCGUGGGCUUUACGCAGGGGCACACGUCUCCUCCGGGCUCCAUGGGCUCCUCCAAAAGCUCCCCUGACUCUGCAGGACACUCGGCUGGAACCUCUGCCACAGGUACCCAGGCAAUGAACUACUAAUAAUUGGCUCCUUCGAAGAUGAUAGACAAAAGAAAGGAGCCACUCCUGAAUAAACAGGUGUAAUUCAUAAGGGCUCCAAGCUCUUUACUUGCAAAUACAGAUAAUUGAAGCUUUCUUUAAGACCACAAGAAACGGCUUCUCCCUCCCCCCCCUCCUGAAUCACGGGCUGUAAUCGUACCCCACAACUGGAAUUUGCGUGCCAGCAGGAGUCACAGUUGUACAGACCUUAAAUUGGUGUCAUAUUAAGUGCUUUCCAAAGCAAAAAUGCUUCUAAACAAACAAUACACUGGGGGAUGGGUGCAGAGGAAAAGAGUCAUCUUAUAUUCAUUCUAUAUUUAAUGUGAUAAUUAAAAUUAUUUUACCUAUUAUUAUUUGAGACAAUUGAAAUUAAAUUUCAAACAUACAGUUUCUUAAAAUGAAAUUUCAAUGCUCUUUCUAGCUGGCAAAUAUUGGAUUUGAACACCAGAAGUAAAAAGUACGUGCCAGAGCUCUACUGAAAAAUAAGUGUUCAAAUAAUGCGUCUCAAGCCGGGAGACAUUUCAUUCAGUGAAAGGGUGGAAGAUUUUAAUUAACUUGCUUCCCACUCUCCCGUGGAUGAUAAGGAAUCUCUGAUCACACCUUGAGUGUCAAGAAGCCAGAGCAUAUUGAGCUAGGUUUUUCCCUUGACUUGCAUCACAUGAAAAGAAUUUAUUUUAUUUAUAGUUGCACUGUUUGUUUUCAGCAUUUUCUCCUUUCACAGCUGCUUCUGCUCAUUAGAAAAACAAAAAGAUUAAAAAAUGAUAACGAUAAUAUCUAGGGCAAGCCACACAAACAACUGCAUUAACAAUUUUUCUUUUCUUUUGCCCCCCCCGCGGCAAUUUUAACCACAGCAAGAUAAUAAACAAGACAACUACUAAGCUCUUGUGAGACACAAGUUCUACACAAAUCAUUCUUUCCUGGGUUAAGCGAAUGUGAUUUAGUGACAAGGCAGCUACGGAUUGUCACCAUUUAAUAUUUUUUUCCAACACGGAUUAAAGAGUAGAAGAUUGAAAAUUCCAUUAAAUAAAUCUUAAUAAAACCUUUACCGGCAAAUCCUAACAGACUGCGUACUAAGAUCUACAGACAGAUGGCAAAGAGGAUGGAAGUAAAAAAACACAAGUCGCUUUCAAAGUGUAACCCGCUGUUUGUUGAGGAAAACCGGCAGCACGUUCAAACCCGGCUCCUUCCGAAAAAUACAAGGGAGAGCCCGGGAGGGCGGCAGCGUGCACCCCCAGCCAGGGCUGCUCACCAGCCCCACCGCUGCCAAAGCCAGAGCUUCUCCCAGCGCUCUGAAGGGAGGACGAAGAAGGCAGAACCUGCACCUUAGUGGAAAAGACGGACAGUAAAAGGAGAGAAAUUGAAUAAACCGGCUGUGUGAGACUGAGCGGGUAAAACAUACUGGAAAUGUUUUAUGUUUGCAGUAACACGGCUGACAAGGAGGCUAAAUCCAAGCUCUAAAAUUCUGAAUUAUUUGCCUUUUUCCUUUUCAAACUUCUUCCAAAAGGUAAUUUCUGCUAAUAAUAUAACAUUAUUGAUCCAUGAAAAACACUGAUUGGAAGCAGAAGUUUCCCAAGUGUUUCAGCAGUAAAAGUUGGACUGUGCUCCUCCAGUACUGAGCUGCCCCUAAAUGUCUGUGUGCAACUCACCACAGCCUGUUGCCAGCAGGCACGGGCUACACAACCAUCAGCUGCAAGGCAGAGGGUGCGGGACGGCUCCGGCACCCUCAGAAACCACCAGCGGCUUUUGGCAGCAGAUGAGUCACUGACCAACACCAACCAGCAGCUAAAUUGGGACCGUAGUAGAAAGUUAAUAGAAAAAAAAGUAAGAAACAAAUGCACAGAAAGGCUUUUUGCACAUUAUUCUGGGCAUAUGUGAUUUAGAUUUAUUUAUGAUUAUAUAACAUACGUGGAUUCAUGCACGGUCAAGUAUUUUUGAGAAUAAAAUCAAGCUGUAACAUGAUACAGGGUAGCAUCCUGUUAAGACAGUUUUUCUGAGAUACAGAUGUAUCCAGUCACACUUUCAAUAGGUACACAGCUGCUGAGUAGCAUCUGCAUCUGCCUCCAGGCCUACGGCUAAACAAAAAACAACCAAAAAUCCCUCAUGUGCCCACAAACCCCACUUCUCUCAGUGACUUCUGCAGAUGUAAAUCCCACUUUCUAGCACAUGAAUAAACUAACAAAAAUGUUUGAGUGCUUCUAAUAUUGCCUGCAGUUGUAACAAAGAAGCACAUUCAUGCAGCAACACAAUUUUGCAUUUAUAGAAGCACAGGAUAGGUAGCAAAAGCUCCAGAAGCUGAAUGUGUUGACAUGGAGGUUUCCCCACAAAGGAAGCACAGAAGCAUCUUGUGAAAUGUGUUAAACUUACAUGCACUGGCAACGGGAUAGGACAACUCCACCUAACUGGCCAUGGAGCACAAGAAAUACAUGUAAUGUAGCAACCCAUCAGUACAUCUCUUUAAAUAACUCUGGCAUUUUCAGUUUUCCAGUUCCUGCAAUACUUGUGCACUGUGCCUUUAACUGAUCCCUGAUUUUGCUGUUUGUCCAUCAACUGUUAUUGGGAAAAAAACCCAACAGCAUAGAAAAACACUACCCGAGAACUUGUAUACUCCAGGGUGCCUUGCCACACACAGCUUUGUCAUCUCCAUGCAGCUUCCCCAAUGUAAUUUCCUUCAGUUAUAAUUUAUUCUCAAAAAAAAUUUGGCCUUUGCAAAAAGGCUUUUGUGAACGGUUCUGCCAUUAUGGAACUAAUAAUCUGUUUCCAUGUGAGAAAUGCAGCUGAAGCACAAAACCCUGUACGGCCACUGGUUCGGGCAGCAGGAGAGCAGAAGUUGGCACUGCCCUUCACUUUAGCGCAGAUUUAUGGGGUCCCAGUACCUGCAUCCCCUGUGCCCCAAAAUGGGGGGGGUCCCUCCCAAACCCUGGCAGCAGCACAGGGUCAAAGAGUUGCCUUAGCCAGGGCAGCACUGCAUGGCCAAAGGUGACCUGCUGGGGAAAAGAAACCUGCCUUGUGCCCUGGGUGGUUUUUUAGGAAGUAUCACAGAGGACUGAAAUGCUUUUUCUCAGCUUAUUUUUAAGUGGGAAGAUUUUAUGGGUGACCAGAGAACUAAUUCUUCUUGCUGAUCCCGUCACAAACCACGACAGAUAGGAAGUGAUUUUUUUU